UGCAGUCGCACGAACUCUCGGUAUUGAUUGGUGCUUGCAUCAUGAUUUACAUUUGAGUGAGUGGCGAACUGGUGAGUAACACGUGGGAAACCUGCCCAGAAGCGGGGGAUAACACCUGGAAACAGAUGCUAAUACCGCAUAACAACUUGGACCGCAUGGUCCGAGUUUGAAAGAUGGCUUCGGCUAUCACUUUUGGAUGGUCCCGCGGCGUAUUAGCUAGAUGGUGGGGUAACGGCUCACCAUGGCAAUGAUACGUAGCCGACCUGAGAGGGUAAUCGGCCACAUUGGGACUGAGACACGGCCCAAACUCCUACGGGAGGCAGCAGUAGGGAAUCUUCCACAAUGGACGAAAGUCUGAUGGAGCAACGCCGCGUGAGUGAAGAAGGGUUUCGGCUCGUAAAACUCUGUUGUUAAAGAAGAACAUAUCUGAGAGUAACUGUUCAGGUAUUGACGGUAUUUAACCAGAAAGCCACGGCUAACUACGUGCCAGCAGCCGCGGUAAUACGUAGGUGGCAAGCGUUGUCCGGAUUUAUUGGGCGUAAAGCGAGCGCAGGCGGUUUUUUAAGUCUGAUGUGAAAGCCUUCGGCUCAACCGAAGAAGUGCAUCGGAAACUGGGAAACUUGAGUGCAGAAGAGGACAGUGGAACUCCAUGUGUAGCGGUGAAAUGCGUAGAUAUAUGGAAGAACACCAGUGGCGAAGGCGGCUGUCUGGUCUGUAACUGACGCUGAGGCUCGAAAGUAUGGGUAGCAAACAGGAUUAGAUACCCUGGUAGUCCAUACCGUAAACGAUGAAUGCUAAGUGUUGGAGGGUUUCCGCCCUUCAGUGCUGCAGCUAA
rnacentral:rRNA from 1 species